rnacentral:rRNA from 1 species
UGUCUCAAGACUAAGCCAUGCAUGUCUAAGUAUAAACGCUUCUAUACUGUGAAACUGCGAAUGGCUCAUUAAAUCAGUUAUAGUUUAUUUGAUGGUUUCUUACUACUUGGAUAACCGUGGUAAUUCUAGAGCUAAUACAUGCACAAAGUCCCGACUCUUCGGAAGGGAUGUAUUUAUUAGAUCCAAAACCAAUGCGAGUCUCUCGGGGCUCGGUUCCUUGGUGAUUCAUGAUAACUGCUCGAACCGUAUGGCCCUUGCGCCGACGGUGCUUCAUUCAAAUUUCUGCCCUAUCAACUUUCGAUGGUACGGUAGUGGCCUACCAUGGUUGCAACGGGUGACGGAGAAUUAGGGUUCGAUUCCGGAGAGGGAGCCUGAGAAACGGCUACCACAUCCAAGGAAGGCAGCAGGCGCGCAAAUUACCCAAUCCCGACUCGGGGAGGUAGUGACAAUAAAUAACAAUGCCGGGCUAUUGUAGUCUGGCAAUUGGAAUGAGUACAAUCUAAAUCCCUUAACGAGGAACAAUUGGAGGGCAAGUCUGGUGCCAGCAGCCGCGGUAAUUCCAGCUCCAAUAGCGUAUAUUAAAGUUGUUGCAGUUAAAAAGCUCGUAGUUGGAUUUCGGGGUGGCCUGCCUGGUCCACCGCAAGGUGAGUACUGGUCAGCCGCCCUUCCUCUCGAAAGCCCCGACUGCUCUUCACUGCAGUGGUCGGGUAGUUCGGGACGUUUACUUUGAAAAAAUUAGAGUGUUCAAGGCAGGCUAUCGCCUGAAUACAUUAGCAUGGAAUAAUGGAAGAGGACCUCGGUCCUAUUUUGUUGGUUUCUAGGGCCGAAGUAAUGAUUAAGAGGGACAGUUGGGGGCAUUCGUAUUUAAUUGUCAGAGGUGAAAUUCUUGGAUUUAUGAAAGACGAACUAGUGCGAAAGCAUUUGCCAAGGAUGUUUUCAUUAAUCAAGAACGAAAGUUAGGGGU